GGGCUUGUAUUUUCUGUCAUGAUUUCCUUGACAGAGGGUUGCUGCACACAAGGAAGAUAUUAAACCAAGAGUUCCAACCCAGAUUUUGAUAGGGUUCGUGUUGCUCAGUAUUUUGUUCUCUAUUUUGUGUUUUUGUGUAAUAUUGUUCGUCUAUUGGUCAUUUUAUUUUUUAGCCUUUGUAAUGUCUGGUUUAUUUUGGAAACGAGUUUGAAUGCACCUCUGGUAUCUUUCGCCCCUCUUUUUUACGAGUAUCUGUUUGCCUCAAGCGUUUCCAUAUGUCCUUAAUUGCCUGGUUAUAUAUCAUAUCAUGUUUGUAAAAUAAUUCUAGUGAAAAUAAACUGUCGACAUAGUGAAUUAACCAUCACAAAAGGUCCGGAGCCUAAAUAAACAGGUGUAAUGAGAAAUGCUACUGCCAAUACAACUGCAUACCAAAUACCAUUGACUAAUCACAUGUCGUUCCAAGACCUAAACAAAAACUAUGCAAACU
rnacentral:lncRNA from 1 species